AUGAACGCUGGCGGCGUGCCUAAUACAUGCCAGUCGAGCGAACAGACGAGGAGCUUGCUCCUCUGACGUUAGCGGCGGACGGGUGAGUAACACGUGGAUAACCUGCCUAUAAGACUGGGAUAACUUCGGGAAACCGGAGCUAAUACCGGAUAAUAUAUUGAACCGCAUGGUUCAAUAGUGAAAGACGGUUUUGCUGUCACUUAUAGAUGGAUCCGCGCCGCAUUAGCUAGUUGGUAAGGUAACGGCUUACCAAGGCAACGAUGCGUAGCCGACCUGAGAGGGUGAUCGGCCACACUGGAACUGAGACACGGUCCAGACUCCUACGGGAGGCAGCAGUAGGGAAUCUUCCGCAAUGGGCGAAAGCCUGACGGAGCAACGCCGCGUGAGUGAUGAAGGUCUUCGGAUCGUAAAACUCUGUUAUUAGGGAAGAACAAAUGUGUAAGUAACUAUGCACGUCUUGACGGUACCUAAUCAGAAAGCCACGGCUAACUACGU
rnacentral:rRNA from 1 species